UGAUAAAUUAUUUUGUAACUUUAGCAUCCCUAAGCAAACUAAAAUACUGCUUUAUGAUAUCGCACAUUAUCCAGACAGAAUGAAAACUGAUUUGCGAUAGUGAGGAGGUGCGCGCAUUGAAGAAAAUGAUAAUUUAUUAUAUUCUGUCACCGAAUUACUUUGUAGCUGACCCUCAGGAACAAAUGAGUCUUCCUGUCUGCUGAAAGAAUCGGAAUUCAUCGGCACCUUCCGCAAUCGCAACACUACAAAGUAAUUCGUUGUACCAAUGCAACGAAUUAUUUUCUCCGAUGGCGUCUUGGAUCCAACAACAGAGACUAAAUCCCAUAAAUGAUCUCACCGCGAGAUGCACGACGAUCAAUUAGGGAGUCCCUCAUUUUGAUUCAUCAAGCGCCUUAGAAGAAUUGUCGACAUCUGGAAUGUUUACUACUAGACAAUGGAGAUAGUGAACAACGCGAGCAGAAGCUAUCAUCACAACAAUAUGUGUGUCGAGCUGACUGCGUGAAGCACUUCUAUCGUGUUGGAUAGGUUUCAUCUGCGAGUCGGAAAACCGUGUGUUUCCCCAGAAUGGUCAACGUUAUCGCAAUCUUCCGAUCGCUCCGAUACCGCCAGGAUCAGCAGAAGUGCUUCGAAUGCCCGUUUACCUUCCAACGUGAAACAGCGGUAGAUGUUCUAGCCAUUCAGUGUCAGUGGAUCAUUUCACACCACAUAUAUAUUUUUUUCGAUUACUUCGUUAUCCAUCUGCAGCUUAUAGUGAAUGUACGAGCUGAUAGCAGUUGUGAUUAGGGGUGAUCGAAACGUUUUAUACAAAUUAAAAAUAGAAUGUAUGUCUAUAUUCUAUGAUGCUUGUCUCUCAAUCCUUGUUAGAAUGUUAAUAUUAUUAUCUAUUUACAACAUAUCUACAUAAUCAGAUGUUCAAAUUAGAAAUGUAUGUAAAACUUCUUGACGUCAAAGUGUUACGAGGGGGAGUGUUGCGCAUAAUCAUGCGCGUCAAUUUGAACAUCAAUUUAAUGAUAAAUUAUUUUGUAACUUUAGCAUCCCUAAGCAAACUAAAAUACUGCUUUAUGAUAUCGCACAUUAUCCAGACAGAAUGAAAACUGAUUUGCGAUAGUGAGGAGGUGCGCGCAUUGAAGAAAAUGAUAAUUUAUUAUAUUCUGUCACCGAAUUACUUUGUAGCUGACCCUCAGGAACAAAUGAGUCUUCCUGUCUGCUGAAAGAAUCGGAAUUCAUCGGCACCUUCCGCAAUCGCAACA